rnacentral:rRNA from 1 species
GACGAACGCUGGCGGCGUGCUUAACACAUGCAAGUCGAACGGAAAGGCCCUGCUUUUGUGGGGUGCUCGAGUGGCGAAGGGGUGAGUAACACGUGAGUAACCUGACCUUGACUUUGGGAUAACUUCAGGAAACUGGGGCUAAUACCGGAUAGGAGCUCCUGCUGCAUGGUGGGGGUUGGAAAGUUUCGGCGGUCGGGGAUGGACUGACGGCUUAUCAGCUUGUUGGUGGGGUAGAGGCACACCAAGGAGAUGACGGGUAGCUGGCCUGAGAGGGUGAUCAGCCACACUGGAACUGAGACACGGUCCAGACUACUAAGGGAGGAAGCAGGGGGGAAUAUUGGACAAUGGGCGCAAGCCUGAUCCAGCCAUACCGCGUGGGUGAAGAAGGCCUUCGGGUUGUAAAGCCCUUUUGUUGGGAAAGAAAAGCAGCAGGUUAAUACCCCGCUGGUCUGACGGUACCCAAAGAAUAAGCACCGGCUAACUUCGUG